CUGAGACUCCAGCAGGAGGUGGUCAGAAAAGAGAGAUAUUUCUGCUGACAGAGGGGGAACAGUGGGGCUGCAGCCUGAGAUGUCACUCAUGAGGGACGCAAAGGUAGCCCCAGCCCCAGGGAAGUGGGGUAGGGAGAGACUUCACUUUCUGUCAUCUGCUACUGACCCUGCCCCCCCAUUGCCUCGACUUCCCCAGCUGCAUUGAAUUUCCCAUUCCAAACUCAUCCCCCCAGUUCUUCCCGGAGCCCUCUUCCAUCCCCGGCCUCACCUGUCCCUUUCCUCACACCCCCCUUCCUGCCUCAUCUGCCCGGAGCCUGUUUCCAUUGCCGCAGUCUCCUUCCUCCUCACCCCAUUUGCUGAAGCAGUGGCAGAGAUACCCCAAGCCUUUGGGGGACUGAUGAAGGGAGAACAUCUUUUGGGGGCUAGAGGAAGUGAGUGGCUCCUAGAGGGACAAGGGGAAGUGAGGGGAGAGAGUCAAGGGGACAGGGCCGAAGAUGGUAACCCUACCCUAGGGAGGGGUUGCCACAGCCAUCAACAAGGGAUUUAGUGUCCAGGCCCUGGUGAGCAAAGCCAGCACUGCCUGUCUCUCCCCAAAACUGCCCCCCCCCUUCCCCAUCGCUCUAACUCAGCCUCUGGGAACAGAGCCCUGAGGGCCCCCCCAUCCUGGAUAGGGAAUCCCCACCCCACCCCCAAGAAAAUGGGACACCAAGGCAGCCAAGUAACCCAAGAGGCUACAGAAUGUGCUGAUGGCAGAGGGGGAGGGGUAACUGUCUCAGGAUGGGGGCAGGGGUCACCCCAAGUCGUGCACUGAGGGUCACCUCAUCCCACACUGUGCUCUAACCAACGGGGUUUCUGUGGCCAGCCCCAGAGGCCUGUGGUCUGCGCUGCACUCUGCCCUGCUGCAUCUGUCCACGAGGGGAACAGGAUCAGGCCCAUGCUGUGUGCGUGCAGGAGCUAGGCAGACCCCACAGAAAGGUGUCGGGGCCUGGGGAAGCUGGACCAAGCAGGGGCUCCAGACCAAAGGAAUGGGGAAGGGUGGACUUCUGGGGACAGGUCUGGGGGAAAUAAGGACAGAUGUCUAGACCUAGGGGGAAAGGGAGCAGAGACACAGAGCCACCAGGGUCAGAGGGAAGUCCGAGCAGCAGUGGGGAAGAGGGACAGCAGGGAGCCAGGUGGGCGGGGACCCCGGCGCUGGGUGCAAAGCCACAAGUUGUUGCUGAAUGCUGGCCUUGGUGUCAGCUUCCUCAGAGAAGCAGCUGCUCUGAGCUGCCCCUCCCCACCCCUGCUCCAGGAUGGGGGCGUCUCUUGGUUACCACCAGGGCUGGAUGAGAGUCAGGGUGAAAGGUCAGUGAGGGGAAGGGGCCUGGUGCCCUGGGCUCAAGUCCGUCCUCUGUCUAGGCCUGUUUCCUGAAAUGAGCAGAGGCAUGUGGACUUCCUAAGUGUGGCUUCUUAAGGCUGCUUUCCAUUCUGGGGCUCAAACUCCGAAGCAGAGGACAGAAUAGGAGACAGCAGAGCAAAGAAAAGGGAGGCCCCCACUUUUGGGGAGGGGGAUGGCAGCAGGGGUGGAUGGAACUUGAGGGUUCAGCCUCCCAGAUGCAUCCCUUCUGCCUGGACUUGGGUGAGGCGCGGCCUCCUGGGUGAGUUGAGGACAAGGUGCUCCUUCCUGCCUCCUUUUCACAGUUCCAACAAACCCCUCCCCUGAAGCAGAAUCCUGCUGUGACCUGAGGGGAGUGGGGGACAGUGGGCUGAAUUGGGGGUGCAGGAGAGCAUUAGCAGCCUCUCUUCCAAGAGACACAGCCCCCGGCACCUCCACCCGGCCCAGCACCCACCGUCUCCGCUGGACUCAGGCUCACACCCGCCAAGGCUUUUGGCGCUGGCCGGCGUCUCCCCACCGGCACCUGGAGGAGUGACAGGGGCUACUGUCUUACAGCAGUGGGAAUGCCCAAACAUGGAGAGGGGCAGACGGAGAGAUGGGCAGCUUCGAGGGAGUCGAGAGCCUGAGACAGAGGGCAGGGGGCAGGCUUGGCAGCACAUUCCUGCCAACAGGCCUUUAAGGUUAUUCAUUUCUACCUCCCCCGGCUUCCCAGAGGGGGAAACAAGCCAGGGAGGGAAAGCCACCCGCCAGGAGCUGCAGAAGGGCUGCUCUAGGGAAGGCUGUGGGUGUGAACUGCCAUGGAGGGAGGCUGAGCCAGAGGCGCCCUCGGGGAUCCCUUCCCACAGGGGUCUCCACGCCCAGGGAUGGAAAGUGAUCCUCCUGUCACACCUGAGGGCUGGAGCUAAAAGCAUGGGACACAGAGACACCCUGGCCAGUCCCUGAUGAGUGCAGAACUUCGGUUUAACCAUCUGUAAAGAAAGGCUUAGAGGGAAAGUCUCUCAGGCCCUGCUUACCUCGGGGCACCACAGCCUUCACUGGCCAUCUCACUAAGAACCCAGCACCCGGCUCUCCAAAGCUUCCCCCACUUUCAAGGCCGGUCCUAUCCCCAGUCUCCUGAGGCCAAGGUUUGGGGAGCCCCAGAAAUUAGAGCAAGCAGGAGAGCCAGCAGGCUUCCCUCGGCUAGCCCCCCGCCUGGGUGGCCUGGAAGCCCAGCUGUCUCCUGUCCAUCUCCCUACAGGACACAAGGCCCAGAAUAGCAAGGUCAUGAGCGUGGGUAGGGCCUCCUGGAGGUGGGGGCUGAAGCUGAGGGGCAUGAGGGUGUGGGCUCCUUGCUGCCUGGGCGGGGAGUGAGGCAGGAUGCUGAAAGGCGGAGCUGGACAGUGGGGAAGGGAGAAGGCCGAGCUCAGCGGGUGGGAUUCUUCAGCCCCAGGCCCCUCCUUGUUGGCACCCACUACCCCCAGAGCUGGGAAGCCCAGGGGUGCCCUCUGUUGGAGGGCACAGCCACAGAUCAGGAAGACUGAUUCCAAGAGCAGAGCCUGUGUUUUACGGGGUGGAGGGGUGUGCCACAAUGGGGGUGGUGUUAUAAACUCAAAUGCCCACAGGGCCAGGCCCUCCCAGGGAGCAAAGUGAGCUGGUGGGGAUGGGGCAGAUGUGGAAGUGGACCCACAUCACUGGAUCUUCUGAUUUUUAAGAGAAGCCAGUGAUUUUUUUUUUUUUUUUUUUUUUUUUAGACAGAGUCUCGCUCUGUUGCCCAGGUUGGAGUGCAAUGGUGCGAUCUUGGCUCACAGCAACCUCCACCUCCUGGGCUCAAGCAAUUCUCCUACCUUAGCCUCCUGAGUAGCUGGUAUUACAGGCGCGCACCACCACACCCGGCUAAUUUUUUGUAUUUUUAGUAGAGACGGGGUUUCUCCACAUUGGUCAGCCUGGUCUCAAACUCCUGACCUCAGGUGAUCCACCCACGUCGGCCUCCCAAAGUGCUGGGAUUACAGGCGUGAGCCACCACACCUGGCCUGUGAUCUGAAUUUUUAAUGUGAAACUCAAAUGGACACCAUGUCCAGGCCAAGCAAACCAUGUCAGCAGCUCUGACUCAAGAUGAAACUUCACAUGUCACAGAUGAGGAUGCUCAGGCCCGGCGUGGCUACACCUUGCCCAGGCCAGUGAGUGGCAAGGCCAGGACAGAAGCUAGUGCCCUCUGCCAUCCCUCCAGCCUGGCUUUGAGAAGGGGGCCAUUGGGCCCCUCUGCGGCUACCCUGUGACUGCCACGUUCAAUCUCUUCCAGCACAGCCACCGUGCCUCCCAUCUCUCACUGCCAGCUCUCUCUAGGGUACAAAGCCAUAACUCAGGAAGGGCCGCUGGAGAUCACCAUGCCUGCCAUUCACAGCACUGUCCCAUGACAAAAACUCGCAGGAGACCCCAAGAGCAUCAUUUAGUGCUCCACGAACAAGGCUGUCAGACACAGGGAUGGCUCCGAAAGCACAGCACUGCAGAAUGAUGGGGACUGGCCUGGGCCAGCCCUCUGGCCUGUGGGCACUGAGUGGGCUGCCUUCCCAACCCAACUGUCCCCAGUCCCCACAGCAAACAAUGGCCAUAGCCAUCACGAUAGAACCGAGAUAAACCUUUUUAUUUAUUUAUGCUUCUCCAUUUUGUUUAAAACAACAACAACAACCACCUUAAU
rnacentral:lncRNA from 1 species